AGUCGAGCGAGUCUGCCUUGAAGAUCGGAGUGCUUGCACUCUGUGUAACAAGAUACAGGCUAGCGGCGGACGGGUGAGUAACACGUGGGUAACCUGCCCAAGAGAUCGGGAUAACACCUGGAAACAGAUGCUAAUACCGGAUAAUAACAGAUGAUGCCUAUCAACUGUUUAAAAGAUGGUUCUGCUAUCACUCUUGGAUGGACCUGCGGUGCAUUAGCUAGUUGGUAGGGUAACGGCUUACCAAGGCGAUGAUGCAUAGCCGAGUUGAGAGACUGAUCGGCCACAUUGGGACUGAGACACGGCCCAAACUCCUACGGGAGGCAGCAGUAGGGAAUCUUCCACAAUGGACGCAAGUCUGAUGGAGCAACGCCGCGUGAGUGAAGAAGGGUUUCGGCUCGUAAAGCUCUGUUGUUGGUGAAGAAGGACAGGGGUAGUAACUGACCUUUGUUUGACGGUAAUCAAUUAGAAAGUCACGGCUAACUACGUGCCAGCAGCCGCGGUAAUACGUAGGUGGCAAGCGUUGUCCGGAUUUAUUGGGCGUAAAGCGAGUGCAGGCGGUUCGAUAAGUCUGAUGUGAAGGCCUUCGGCUCAACCGGAGAAUUGCAUCAGAAACUGUCGAGCUUGAGUACAGAAGAGGAGAGUGGAACUCCAUGUGUAGCGG
rnacentral:rRNA from 1 species